GGAGCCGUAGCGAAAGCGAGUUUUAACUGAGCGUUCAGUUACUUGACGUAGACCCGAAACCGGGCGACCUACCCAUGAGCAGGAUGAAGCGAAAGUAAAAUUUCGUGGAGGUCCGAACCCACGAGCGUUGAAAAGCUCGGGGAUGACUUGUGGGUAGCGGUGAAAUUCCAAUCGAGCCCGGAGAUAGCUGGUUCUCCCCGAAAUAGCUUUAGGGCUAGCCUCAAGGUGAGAGAUACGGAGGUAGAGCACUGAAUGUCCUAGGGGGUAUUGCACCUACCGAAGACUAUCAAACUCCGAAUGCCGUCAUCUUAUACUUGGGAGUCAGACUGUGGGUGAUAAGAUUCAUAGUCGAAAGGGCAACAGCCCAGAUCGUCAGCUAAGGUCCCUAAAUGUAAGUUAAGUGGUAAAGGAUGUGGGAUUGCACAGACAACCAGGAUGUUGGCUUAGAAGCAGCCACUCAUUCAAAGAGUGCGUAAUAGCUCACUGGUCGAGUGAUCCUGCGCCGAAGAUUUCCGGGGCUAAAACUUACUACCGAAGCUACGGCAUCAGUAAUGAUGGGUAGGGGAGCUUCCCAUACGGGUUGAAGCAUGACCGUAAGGACAUGUGGACAGUAUGGGAGUGAGAAUGUUGGCAUGAGUAGCGAGAUGUGGGUGAGAAUCCCACAGGCCGUAAACCCAAGGUUUCCAGGGGAAGGUUCGUCCGCCCUGGGUUAGUCGGGACCUAAGCUGAGGCCGAAAGGCGUAGGUGAUGGACAACAGGUUGAUAUUCCUGUACUACCGAUAACCGUUUGAGAGAAGGGAUGACACAGUAGGAUAAGCUAAGCACACUGUUGGUUAUGUGUGCCCAAGCAUUGAGGCAGUCAAAGUAGGCAAAUCCGCUUUGAUAAUGCUGGGAUGUGAUGGGGAGCGAAAUUUAGUAGCGAAGUAGCUGAUUUCACACUGUCAAGAAAAGUCUCUAUCGAGGUUAAAGGUACCCGUACCGCAAACCGACACAGGUGGGUGAGGAGAGUAUCCUAAGGCCAGCGAGAGAACUGUUGUUAAGGAACUCGGCAAAAUGACCCCGUAACUUAGGGAUAAGGGGUGCCACCAUCAGGUGGCCGCAGAGAAUAGGCCCAAGCGACUGUUUACCAAAAACAUAGGUUUCUGCUAAGUCGCAAGACGAUGUAUAGGAGCUGACGCCUGCCCGGUGCUGGAAGGUUAAGGGGAUCUGUUAGAGCAAUCGAAGCAGUGAACUUAAGCCCCAGUAAACGGCGGCCGUAACUAUAACGGUCCUAAGGUAGCGAAAUUCCUUGUCGGGUAAGUUCCGACCCGCACGAAAGGCGUAACGAUUUGGGCACUGUCUCAACAACAGACUCGGUGAAAUUGUAAUUCCGGUGAAGAUGCCGGAUACCUGCGACAGGACGGAAAGACCCCAUGGAGCUUUACUGUAGCUUGACAUUGGGUCUUGGUACUACAUGUACAGGAUAGGUGGGAGGCUUUGAAACCAGGACGCCAGUUUUGGCGGAGCCAUCCUUGGGAUACCACCCUUGUAGUACUGGGACUCUAACCAUAGGCCAUGAAUCUGGUCUUGGGACACUGUCAGGUGGGCAGUUUGACUGGGGCGGUCGCCUCCCAAAAGGUAACGGAGGCGCUCAAAGGUUCUCUCAGUACGGUCGGAAAUCGUACGUAGAGUGUAAAGGCAAAAGAGAGCUUGAUUGCAAGACAUACAGGUCGAGCAAGGAUGAAAAUCGGACUUAGUGAUCCGGUGGUUCUGCGUGGAAGGGCCAUCGCUCAACGGAUAAAAGCUACCCUGGGGAUAACAGGCUUAUCUCCCCCAAGAGUCCACAUCGACGGGGAGGUUUGGCACCUCGAUGUCGGCUCAUCACAUCCUGGGGCUGUAGUAGGUCCCAAGGGUUGGGCUGUUCGCCCAUUAAAGUGGUACGCGAGCUGGGUUCAGAACGUCGUGAGACAGUUCGGUCCCUAUCCGUCGCAGGCGUAGGAAAUUUGAGAAGACCUGUCCUUAGUACGAGAGGACCGGGAUGGACGUACCUCUGGUGUACCAGUUGUCCUGCCAAGG
rnacentral:rRNA from 1 species